CACGUAGGCGGAUGUGUCAGUCAGGGGUGAAAUCCCGGAGCUCAACUUCGGAACUGCCUUUGAUACAGCACAUCUGGAGUCCGGAAGAGGUGGGUGGAAUUCCUAGUGUAGAGGUGAAAUUCGUAGAUAUUAGGAAGAACACCGGUGGCGAAGGCGGCCCACUGGUCCGGUACUGACGCUGAGGUGCGAAAGCGUGGGGAAGCAAACAG
rnacentral:rRNA from 1 species